AUUGAACGCUGGCGGCAGGCCUAACACGUGCAAGUCGAGCGGGGUUUUCGGACCUAGCGGCGGACGGGUGAGUAAUGCGUAGGAAGCUGCCCGAUAGAGGGGGAUACCAGUUGGAAACGACUGUUAAUACCGCAUAAUGUCUACGGACCAAAGUGUGGGACCUUCGGGCCACAUGCUAUCGGAUGCGCCUACGUGGGAUUAGCUAGUUGGUGAGGUAAUGGCUCACCAAGGCGACGAUCUCUAGCUGGUUUGAGAGGAUGAUCAGCCACACUGGAACUGAGACACGGUCCAGACUCCUACGGGAGGCAGCAGUGGGGAAUAUUGGACAAUGGGCGCAAGCCUGAUCCAGCCAUGCCGCGUGUGUGAAGAAGGCCUUCGGGUUGUAAAGCACUUUCAGCGAGGAGGAAGGGGUGUGUGUUAAUAGUACACACCUUUGACGUUACUCGCAGAGGAAGCACCGGCUAACUCUGUGCCAGCCGCCGCCGUAAUAC
rnacentral:rRNA from 1 species